AAAGUGAGAUUUUCAGCUGCUUCCCUUCACAGCCACUGUGUUUUACAUUAAACAGUGUAUGCUAGUGACAGGGUUGAUGGGUGAAAUGGGAACACUGAUGCACUGCUGAGUAACAUUGUCACUGUUUAAAUGACAGGUACGCUGGGCUCUCCACGGAUUGUUUUAAAAUCUCUGGGUGGGGUGUUGGUUUGCUACAGAAAACAUUACUGCUCACUCCCUCUUCCUCACUGGACAAAUCACUGCAUGAACUUACUUUUGAGCUGGAGAUUUUGCUGUCACUACUUUCUUCUUGGGUGGCCAUUGUAUUAAGCACUGAAGCCCAGGUUCAGUGUUCAGAGCUGCAAACCCAAACAUAACUCGGGAAAAAGUAAAAAAAAAAAAAAAAAAAGCUGAUUACAGUCUUUUUAAAAUUACACCCAUUCCUUGAUGGAUGUAAAUAAACAAAUUGUCCAGUUUGGAAAUAAUUUGGUAUACUCACAGGGUGUUUUGACACAUUAGCUGCCAUAGAGUAGGCUUUGACUUGUUGCUCUCAUUUAAUUAUCACGUCCACCUUUUCUCACCUCCCUCCCUCCCUGCCGCCCCCUUAGCUUGAACUGGCCGCCCGGGGUUGCAGGCCUCCCAGCAGGCUCCCAUAACUGGAGGCUUUAAUGCCGCUGCUAUUUCCAGACGACUGAUGUCAUCUGAGGGAGGGACCGGCCCCCGUGCCCAGAGCGGCUGAGGAACAAAAAAACCCAAACAUGCUUCAUUGGGCAUCUGCCUCUAAGCACCAUUUGUUGUUAUGAUAACAGGCAGACAAACGGACACAGGAACUGGAGGAGAUGUUGUUUUUCUCCUGUCUCCCCGUGUGAUGUCAUUCCCCCAUUCAGACUCAGCCCACACAGUCGUGGCAGCGGCGCUCAGCAUCCACUGUCACCAUAGCGACUGCUCUACACCAACACACUUCUCCUCAGCCGGAAACCAGCAGCCGGCUAUUGGUCAGUGUGUCACAGUGGUGGAACCUCAGUCCAAUGGGAGAGGUGGUGAGUGAUGUCAUUGGGAGGCUGAGACUGAAAUGGAGAUGUUAAAACAGAGCAUCAGAGAUCUUCUGUUGAUGCAUCAACUUAAUGUGGGAGGACGUCAGCAGGAUCUGAGAGGGUUCAGUGCCUUAUGCAGUUAGAAGAAAAGGUACAUACAGUAGUGGGAACAAGUAUUUGAUACACUGAUGAUUUUGCAGGUUUUUCCACUUUCAAAGCAUGUAGAAGUCUUUAAUUUUUAUCAUAGGUACUCUUCAACUGUGACAGAAUCUAAAACAAAAAUCCAGAAAAUAACAUUGUGUGAAUUUUUAAGUAAUUUAUUUGUAUUUUCUUACAUGACAUAAGUAAAAAACGUAUACGUAUAAUUGCUUACUGUAGCUGGUUACAGAUAAUUUCAUUGGAUGAAGGGAUUCCCUGCAGCCUUUCCUCCCAAACCCAAAAUUGAAAAAUCAUUUGAGGAGCAGCUCUGUUCACUUCAAACCCUUUAAUGUUGUCGCAGGAAACCAUUAAAAUUACCUCAUUAGUCUCUUUUGUGCACAAAGAACCGACUGAAAUGUUGCUACUGAGAAACAAUGAAGGAAAAAAGCUUCUACUGUUUGUUUGCUUCUAACUCAGGCAUUUUUUUGUGUAAAUCAAUGUAGAGUUCAUAAAAAUCCUUAUUUUAGCAACUGAAAGCUCAGAAGUGAACGCCUCCAAACAUGUUUGUAUGAGAAACAUGUCAGCGAUUAUUUUAUGCUUGUGAUGGAGCCUCAUAGUGCACAUAACAUUUAUCAGAUGUGUCCCUCCAGUCUGGGCCAUCCUAAUUAGGCCUUUUCACAACCUCAUCACUAUUCUUACUGUGUGUUGCAAAAGUACUUUUUUGACACAUUUUCCAUGUUAUAAUCACAAGAUUCCAUGUAUUUUGGUGGGAGUUUAUAGUGUACACCAACACAAAAUAGUGUAUAAUUGUCUAAAAAAAUGAUACAAGGACAAUAAAUCUAAAAGGUGUGGCAUCCAUUUAAAUUCAGAAUAUUUUUUAGAUCUGCCUUUGACUGCAGUUGAAUCUGCAGGUCUUUUUGGAUAUGCCUCUGCCAUCUUUGGACACCUAGAGCCUCAAAAUGUUUGCCCAUUCUUCCUUUCAAGCUCAGUCAGAUCGGAAGGACCGCGUCUUUGAACAGCAAUUUUCAAGUCUCACCUCAGACCCUCAAUAGGAUAUAGGUCUGGACUUUGACUGGGCCGUUUCACCACGGAUACAGCCCACUAAUGAUCCAAAACAAAUAGACAAAUCAACACAAAUGGUUCACAAGGUACAAAAAUCAAACUUUCUUCUACACUGAGUCACCAGAUGAAAUCUAGAGGCAAAAAAAUCCCAUUAAAUCACUCCUCUUGUCAGUACUCUAAACAGCCUCCUCUUGAAGGCCAUUGAGUUAAAAACAAACAUCUGUAGAAGCACCUAAAUGGGGCGAACUUUGGCAUCUGUGUCUUCACUUUGAAACGUCAUGAAUAUUUCAGAUUAAAAAGCCAUCCAGCUCAGAUGAACCUCGUGGCCCUGCAGUGGUGCAGAGAGGAAGGGAGUGUUGGGAGUCACGGAUGGAUCACCUCCUUUUCCAGGAUGACUGAUUCAUUUCCUCGUUCCUAAAAGCUACAGUUGAUCUCUACUUUACAGAGCGAAUGCUGCGAAAUGGUCGCGCCGUGGAGGGAAAUGGAGGGCUGCUCUGUGUGAAGUGAAAGUGAACAGACAGAUGAUUGUUGUAAUUUAGAGCAAGGAUGAUGCUGGGGGCUGGAUGGAUCCAGGUUUGUUCGGUUUCUGAAGAGAAAAUCCUAAAACAAAUAAGUACCCAGCUGUUUUUUUUUUUUAAAAGGGCACCUCAGUUUAGACGUCCAUCGCCUGUAGUUUAUCAGGAACAUUAUGUGAACCACUUGCAGUUUAAAACAAUGGUUCUCUGUCUCAGUUUAACCAUCCAACACCUACAAGAAGCUCAACUAUUCGUUCAGGUUGUGAGUGUGGUGUCUCGGAGGCAUGCUGCCGUUAGGACAGCAGGAACAACAAACUUUACGACCAGGCGACAGCUGUGUCGGCAACCCACGUGUGAAAAGGAUCAACGUGGUGUGGUGGUCAGGAAGUUCAGCUUCAGAGGCGUCUUGAGCUUCCCAUGCUUGCCACUGACACUGAAGGACGUGUUCAUUCAGGUGAAGGAACAACUGCUAAAUAAUGAGACUGGAAUGGAGCAGCAUUUAGGUCCAUAACCAAGCACCCAAUAAAUUAGGUGUUAUGAGACACUUGGGUGUUUUCAUAGAUACUGCAGGCUGUAUGGAGGAUGUACAGGGCAAUGAUCCCAGCCAGAGUCAGGAAGUCAGGUUUGGUUUGGAAAUAUUUCUACUGUGUGCAGAGGAAUGUGCUUUCCAGGAAAAAAAUAACAGUUGCUGCAGCAGAACCAGACAGGUUCUGUCUGUGAACAAGAAAAUAUAAACAGGGAGCUUCAUAAACAACCCUGAAAUGCUUCAAAGCUUCCUUCCUGAAACAAAAAGCAGUCGCAUGGAAUAUUCUACCACCGUUGGAGAUAAAGGCCGGCAUUCGAAUCUGGUCCAACAGUGAGACUACCACUUUUUAUGAUUGCAUUCUUACCGCUUUACAAGAAGCGUUAGGCGUUAGUUGGCUGUGAAGGAAAAAUCACGUUUCACAUGGGUAACAUGAAAGUAAUAAUUUUAUUCUGAAGGGUUUAAUUUUCCAAACCGACCUCAUUACAUCUGACUAAUCAGGACGGGACCUUUGAGAGAAAAUGUAAAAACAACACUGGGACAAUAGUCCAUAAAAAGUAGCUUUACUGGAUAUUUUCAUGAGAUACUAACACACCCGGGU